GGUAAAAUAGUUUAAAUAAAACACUUGGAUUGCAAAUCUGAGAAUGGGCGUUUCCUUUUACCU
rnacentral:tRNA from 2 species